rnacentral:ncRNA from 2 species
CACAAAAGAGAGUGUCAUGGUUCUCAUGCCUGUCUUUGGCAGGCUUGAACCAAGAGGGAAAACGGUGCGGAUGAUUUCCAAAGCCGGUGCUGCCCCCGCAACUGUAAACGGAUGAGUCUUUGUUCACGACGCCACUUGGAAUUUCUCAGGGAAGGCGAACAAAAACAGUGACCCGUAAGCCAGGAGACCUGCCAUGACAUGAAUAUAACU